rnacentral:misc_RNA from 1 species
AACGGUCUAUACCUGCGGUACCUGCGGAGGGAUCAUUAAUGAGUGUAACCUACCCCUUAAAAAAGGGUGGUACCUCCCGUCCUUUGCAGGCCCUUUUUUUUGAGGGGCUUUUACAGACUUUCUGCUUCGGCGGGGUUACUCCCGCCGGAACACCCUUAAAAAACUCUUGAUCAAAAAAACCGUUCAGUCCGAGUAUUUUUAAAAAUAUAAAAAAAACUUUUAACAACGGAUCUCUAGAUC